rnacentral:rRNA from 1 species
GAACUGAAGAGUUUGAUCAUGGCUCAGAUUGAACGCUGGCGGCAGGCCUAACACAUGCAAGUCGAGCGGAUGAGUGGAGCUUGCUCCAUGAUUCAGCGGCGGACGGGUGAGUAAUGCCUAGGAAUCUGCCUGGUAGUGGGGGACAACGUUUCGAAAGGAACGCUAAUACCGCAUACGUCCUACGG